rnacentral:misc_RNA from 1 species
AACGCACAUUGCGCCCCUUGGUAUUCCGGGGGGCAUGCCUGUUCGAGCGUCAUUAUAACCCUCAAGCCUAGCUUGGUGUUGGAGCAUGCUAUCUAGCAGCUCUUAAAAUCAGUGGCAGUGCCCUUCGGCUCUAAGCGUAGUAAUUCUUCUCGCUAUAGAACCCGGAUGGUACGCGCCAGAACCCCCAACUUUCUAUGGUUGACCUCGGAUCAGGUAGGGAUACCCGCUGAACUUAA